rnacentral:rRNA from 1 species
CAUCUAACGCACCACAUGGUCUUGUAUCAUCGUAUCACCCUAUGCACGGUAUCACUGGAUAUUUUCCCCAGCGCUGGAAGCGCCACUCGAUCUCAAUCACACAGGAUCGCAAGUAACCAAGACGAACUUUGCUACUAUAUCUGACAGGCUUGCUAGUACUGUACUACUCCCUCCGUCCCAUAAAGUAACACGUUUUUCGACUCUACAGAGUACUUUCUUAUUCUUCCGCUGUCUUCUGGAAUGGUAAUUUUUUUAAGUUUCUGCCGCUUGAGACUGAAAUCGGAUUUAAGAAAUUUCCGGUGCUGGGAGAAGGGUGAUAUGAUAAAAUAAGAAGGGCACUUCCGUGGUUCAUCUCCUCACCUCCACCAAACCUUAUCUCGCUGCCUGCACCGACGACUUGGAGCGGCCGCGCUCCGUGAUCCAAGCACCCGAAGCGCCGGCGCAGCUCCCCUCGAUGGCCGGCGACGAGCCCCCAACGACGGAGGCGUGCCAGGACCUGGUCGAGAUCCUGGACGAGGGAUCGGGCCGGCUGGACAUGGGCCGGUACGUGGACCACGUCCGCGACCUCUCGGCGGGCGCCAUCGCCACCUUCGAGGGCACCACGCGGGACCACUUCGACGGGAGGCGCGUGGUGGAGCUCCGCUACGAGGCGUACGGGGCCAUGGCGCGGCGCCGGCUGGAGGCCAUCCUCCGCGAGGCCCGCGCCGCGCACGCGCUGUGCCGGCUGGCCGUGGCGCACCGCCUCGGGACGGUCCCCGCCGGCGAGGCCAGCGUGUUCGUGGCGACCUCGGCCGUGCACCGCGCCGACGCCAUGGAGGCGUGCCGCUACGUGAUCGACGAGAUCAAGGCCUCCGUGCCCAUCUGGAAGAAGGAGGUGUACGACGACGGCGAGGUGUGGAAGGAGAACCGCGAGUUCCUCGACCGCACCGACGCCGAGAAGAAGGGCAAGCCGGCCGGCGGCGGCGGAUGCUGCGGCAGCAAGGUGAGGGUGAGCUGAUGAUGGCAGCCGCCGGAUCGCGAUCACGUGAACGUGGUUUUUUUCCCCCUUGUGUUACGAGAGAUUUUAGAGGAAGAGAAAGGUGAAGUUCGGAUACAGUAAUAUCCUCACAUUGUGUUACACUGCUACUAAAUGCAAAUCGUGUCAGAGAAACAAUGUAUGAAGUUCGAAUACAUAUCACGUUGCAGCAAAUUAUGUGGUGUGGCAAGUAGUAUGAAUUUUACUCCUGAUAUACUCAUUUUUGUGUAGAGAAACUCAGAGCAUGCAUCAGAACAGAGCCGAUAUGCUGCUGCAUAGCAAUCUAAGUUGUUGUAAGCAGGGUCAUCAAACCAACAUAAAGACUGAUGCCUCGUCACACUGACUGAAAAUUUGGCGCCCGCCAGUCCCUCUCAGAUUGUGAUCAACAUAGACCUUGACAGAUUCCUUGGCCAAUUGAUAGCAAUCUUCAUAGACUGCUACCAUCGGACACCAAGAAUGUCCCCGUCUCAUCAUUCGGAUCACCUAAGCAAUCUCAGCCGUCGACCAGCCUACUGUGCGCCCCGUGGAUAGAGCGAGAUUAACAUAGGAUCAGAACAGAUCAGGGGGAUGUUGCCUCGUCUGAAGAACAGAAACCAGUGGGAAUGUUCUACACAGUUACAUUGCCUUAGGCUUGUUCGGUUAAACUCUCUCGGAGAGGAUUGAAGAGGUUUGGAGGGGAUUGAGAGGGAAUCUGACUUGUAGAGGACUUAAUCCUCUCCAAUCCACUCGAAUCAGUUUACAUACAAGUGGGGUACUCGGGCGGCCCGAGGAGGAACGGCCCCCGCGUCGUCCGCGUGGGCGACUCGGGCGGCGUCCAGAUCCGAUAAUCCCGGCAGCCUCGAUUCGCGCACCCUCCCCUCGCCGCCGCCGGCCAGGACCGCCGGGCUUUCCCGCACGGCCAACGGCGGCGGGGCUCCAUCCCUC